AAUACAUGCAAGUCGAGCGAGCUUGCCUAAUGAUUUUGGUGCUUGCACUAAAUGAAACUAGAUACAAGCGAGCGGCGGACGGGUGAGUAACACGUGGGUAACCUGCCCAAGAGACUGGGAUAACACCUGGAAACAGAUGCUAAUACCGGAUAACAACACUAGACGCAUGUCUAGAGUUUGAAAGAUGGUUCUGCUAUCACUCUUGGAUGGACCUGCGGUGCAUUAGCUAGUUGGUAAGGUAACGGCUUACCAAGGCAAUGAUGCAUAGCCGAGUUGAGAGACUGAUCGGCCACAUUGGGACUGAGACACGGCCCAAACUCCUACGGGAGGCAGCAGUAGGGAAUCUUCCACAAUGGACGAAAGUCUGAUGGAGCAACGCCGCGUGAGUGAAGAAGGGUUUCGGCUCGUAAAGCUCUGUUGGUAGUGAAGAAAGAUAGAGGUAGUAACUGGCCUUUAUUUGACGGUAAUUACUUAGAAAGUCACGGCUAACUACGUGCCA
rnacentral:rRNA from 1 species